rnacentral:rRNA from 1 species
UACGAAGGGGGCUAGCGUUGUUCGGAAUUACUGGGCGUAAAGCGUGCGCAGGCGGCUUCUCAAGUCAGGGGUGAAAGCCCAGAGCUCAACUCUGGAAUUGCCUUUGAGACUGAGUGGCUUGAGUACGAGAGAGGUGAGUGGAAUUCCCAGUGUAGAGGUGAAAUUCGUAGAUAUUGGGAAGAACACCAGUGGCGAAGGCGGCUCACUGGCUCGUAUCUGACGCUCAGGCGCGACAGCGUGGGGAUCAAACAGG